AGAUGAGAAAUCAAAAAUAUUUGUUUAUGUUGAGCCGAAUCAAUACACAAGAAACCAUACUGCUUUACUAGCUGUAAUGCAUGCACAAAUACGGUGUAGAUAAAGCAAGCAUUACCCCGUAUAAACAAUUAAAUUAAAUUAUCAUCACCAAUUAAAUUUGGAUUCAUGUUGGCUUUCUACUUCACAAAAUCGUUACCUGUUUUGUGGCGUGGUUGGAUAACUGGCUCUGUCUAGCGAACCCAACCAGAACUAUGUGGAUUUUCCGUUCAAUUUAAAAAAGACAAUUCACACCGUCUUCAGCCAGAGGCUGCACAGACUGAACACAUUACUUACACUAGACCAGGGUUGUUAAUAGUCAUCGGAGCUGAAGCAUAAUCACUGACAACAACGGCUAAUAAAAAGUUAGCGUCACUGAGUCAGCAGCAGGGAUGGCAAACAUACUUUUUUCUCUUUUCCGUUCAUCGAUACUGGCAGUAAAAUAAAAACAAAACAACGGCAGCACCAAUACUAUCAGACGCCGCGCCGACGGCAGUCAAGCAGACGCUUGAUGGUUUUCGCUUCCCCACGAAAAUAUUUAUGAGCAGUCAUGCUGAGGCGGGUGAUUGCGAAAAAUGUCAAAUAUUUUCAACUGCUAAUAACUCACUUGUUUUAAUAAAUAAUUUAAAUCUAUUUGCAUGAAUAGCUAGAGCACACUCCUAGCUUUGUGUGCAUGUGAAGAAGUUUGUCUAGAAGCGGUUUGAAACGCAGAAAAAUGCGAAAACGGAAGAGACAGAAAUUUUUGUCGUCGUUGUGCUCGAGUACUGGCGCUCUCGCGCUUGGAAACCGUUUCGAGGAAGAAGGCUGCAGGAAGAAAAAUGUUAUGACAUUUAUUUUUCGAACAGUUUGAGUUUGGCUGGGCCUAUGAUGUUCGUGUGGAAAAAUGUCAAAUGUACAGCCGGUAACCGUUUUUUCCAGUACAUUUCUCAUCCCUGGUCAGCAGCUCUUGAAUAUUUUUCUUCAAACACCGUCAGUCAGUUUGCUGGUCGCGACGAAAAAGUUUUACCGUUUCUCUUUAUUGGCAUUUUCGUUGAACUGCUUGCAUCGCCCUGUUAGAACGAACGAAUAAUCAGACUCACGGGAACGGCCGAUCAGAAAAAAAAAAUGCAAAAAUGAAACGCGCUUCCCACCGGAAUCGAACAAAAAACCUUCGGAUUGGCAGCACGACAAUCAUACCAACAGAGCUAAUUCAACAGCUCGGAAGGACCGAGGCUAAAUCAUCAAUAAAAGCUCGACUGGUUCGCCUUUCGUCUGCAGUCAGAUGCCAUGUGAUGGAUGCAUGUUCGUUUUUCGUCGUUGCAAAAGGAGACAAAAGAGAAUGACGAAAACUAUAGUUCCCUGUUUUAUUUUCGGUUCAUCCUCGUCUUGGUUUCUUUGUCGGUCGCUGAUGAUGAUGAAAGUGACGGAGUUUUAUUUGGCGACGAACUUUUUUAGUUUUUCGUCGUUGGUCGGUGACGAAACAGAUGGUUACCAACCCUGCACUAGACAACGGACAACACAGAACACCCAGUGGCCCAGUGGUAAAUUUUUCGUUUGACGAAAAGUUUCCACCGACUGGAGCGGGAAUCGAAUCCACACUCCACUUUUCAACACAAUUUGUGCCAAUGAACUUCAGUCAUUACGUUGUCCAAAAAGAAACCAAUGCUCAAACAUUUUCAUUAGUGUCAAACAGAGUUUUAGUUCAGCACCGCUGCACCGAUGCGUACGCGGAAAUUGCAGAAGACGUCAAUAUUACUGAACAAGAGGAUUCAACAAGAAUGUGCACAAAUUUCGUACAAGAACUUUGAUGUCACUAUACUGGAACUGGCCAAAGGAGGUAUAACUUCUGAAAAAUCUCGAGACGCUUGAGCAAUUCAGGAGUUAAGUUGAAGUCGAUAGAAACCUGCUGAUUUCUCCCAUGGAAAAAAAGUUGGAGUUCUAACAGAUAGUUCUUCUACAGCCCAUAACAACACAAUGCCUGGAGAUCCUAUCACAGGACCCAUAUAGCCGAGGCGGCAAACGCACGGGUAUUCAGCAUGACCAUGCUGAGGGUGGCGGGUUCGAUUCCCGGUCGAUCCAGGAUCUUUACGUAAAGGAAAUCUCCUUGACUUCCUUGGGCAUAGAGUAUCAUCGUGCCUGCCACACGAUAUACACAUGCAAAAUGGUCAUUGGUAGAGGAAGCUCUCAGUUAAUAACUGUGGAAGUGCUCAUAGAACACUAGGCUGAGAAGCAGGCUUUGUCACAGUGAGGACGUUACGCCAAGAAGAAGAAGAAGAUCCUAUCACAAUCAUGCAAGUUGGGGAGACUGUAACGACACUCUCUAAUGUAUUCCAAACAACAGGAGAUCAAAGCUGUUAUCCAUCGUCGUAAAGUUAAAAAAAAAAAUCUUGGCAUCGAUGAAUUGAAAAACAUUAUCCUGGAACAUUUAUCACGGAAGGGGCUAGUUUAACUCUCUAAAAUCUACAAUGCGUUCCUCAAACUAUGGAAACAUGCUCGAGUAAUACCCAUAGCGAAGCUAAACAACCCAACUAACAUUUAUUGUGAAUGUAAACGUCAACAAAGCGUCCUUAAUACGGCUUGAUGCUGAGUUACUGUGUUGUACAUAUGGACGGAAGCUUCUAUGCAAGCCCUAUACCAAUGAAUCUGGCGAACUUAAUCAGCUUGGACAUGCUGUGCGAGAAGCUUCUAUGCCACCAAGACAUAGCUCUUUUCUCUGCUCCUAUGUAACCACUAACUGAAUAACAUCUUGAGAAGGCGCUUUCUCAGCCUUUUCGCGGUUGGUUUAUAAUAGUUAUACGGCAUCCCCAAAUUAAUCGAUUAAAUAUAAUUAGGUUAUGGAUACCGUGACGCAAUACAAGUGAAACUGGAGUUAUCGAUUUUAAAAUUGAAUAAUUAAAGUACUUGCCGCUACUUGGAAUUGAACGUCCGAUCUUCGUAUCCACUGGUCCCGAUUAUGUCCUCGCUGCCACACUGCUAUAGACGAAUUUCGCGCCAACUCGACCAGUGGUUGGCAACACCCUCUCAGAAUCGAAUGAAACUUGGUGGGCAUAAAGACUAGGUUUUUAUAAGCAACUUUGCAUACUUAAAUUUUCGAAAAUUUUCAAGAGUAACAUUUGAAGAGGGCCUAAUUUUUUUUCGAAGAAUUUUUUAAAAUCGAUGUAACUCAAAAAUGACAAGACCUAUAGAAAAGUGUUGUAUGGGGGACUUUUAGAGAAUUGUCCAAGCUUUCAUGAAAAAAUAUUUUAAAAAUUCUAAAUACAUUUUUACACGCUAAAAAAUAUAUUUUUAAAAUUAAAAGUCAAUUUACAGAAAAUGCCCACUUUUUUAUGUUUUGAAAUUUUUUUCCAAGAAAGUCAAUAUUGUUGCCUAACUUUCCUCCGUACAUCACAAGAUGGGCACUUUUAAGGAAAAAAAGUUUUUCUAACAAAAACUUUUUCAUGUUAUUUUUUUUAGCGUGUUGCGCAUUAACUCGUACAGGAUGUAUCAAGAAUCCUUAUACCCAUUUAGUAACACUUAAUGGGCAUUACAACUUUGUUUGAUUGGGUGCCUUCUUUUUCUUGGCGUUGUAUCCCAACUGGAAUAGAACCUGUUUCUCAGCUUGUUUUGAUAUCUGAAUGCUUAAAACAGCAUUCUGUUUGCUGAAAUUGUAUUAUUGUGUGCCUAGAACCAGUGAACUAACAUCAUUAUUAGAAGCGAAUGAUAAAGAAUCGGUUUUAUUUCAACAAUGGCUAACCACUGAUCGGUGCAAUUUGGAAACUAUUACUAAGACUAUAGACGAGUUUAUUCCGUAUUUUGUAGAAAAAGUUGAUAAGCUUAUAACUCAUGAUUUCGUUUAUAAAGAACAAUCCUCAUUUUUGCGGGAUAAAAAAGAAUCUCUUAAACAGGGUGAAGUAUUAACAAUUUAAGACUUUUCAGAAAAUUAUUAAUUUAUCAUUCAAAAUUCAGCUCAAGGUUACCAUUGGAAUAAUUCUCAAGCUACCAUUCACCCCUUUGAAGUGUACUACAGAAAAGAAAAUAAGUUGGAAAACUUGAGCUUUAUAAUAAUAUCUGAAGUACUUACACACGAUACAACAGCAGUUCAGUUAUUUAUAUCAAAACUGCUGGAUUUCAUAAAACAAUCGAUUGAUUUCUCAAAAAUUACUUUCAUGUCAGAUGGAAGCAGCAGCUCAUUAUAAGAACAAAAAAAAAUUGCCAGUUUGUGCAGUUUUCGGUCCAAUUAUGGAUUGGAAGCAGAAUGGCACUUCUUCGCAAAUUCACAUGGCAAAGGUCCAUGUGACGCUGUUGAAGGUACUCUCAAACGAAUGGCAAAAAGAGCAAGUCUUGCUCGAGAUUAUGGAAACACAAUCACAACUCCUCGAGAACUGUAUGACUGGGCAGUUAAACAGUCAGAUAUACAUAUAACAAAAUUAAAUUUCUGCUUUAUUUCAAAUGAAAAAUAUGCAAAAAUGACGGAUGAACUUGAAGAACUAUACACAUACAGUCACGUAAAAACAAUACCUGGUACACAAAAAUUUCAUUCAUUUGUGCCAAUUUCUGAAAAUCAAAUUGAAGCGAAGAAGUUUUCGAAUUCAAAAGAUAAUCCAAAAAAGUUUACUUUGUUUCAGAUAGACCAAAGAUCUAAUAUUCAAAAAACGUUGCAAUAGAUUGUACAAAAGAAAAUAAUUGAAUACACAUAUACAUAUGUACAUAUUUCAUCAAUACACAAGCGUUUUCAUUGAUAUAAAACCCUAAAAGCAAAUUUGUCUUGAGCCCUUUCCAAUAUCAAGCACGUUUUCAAUGUCAAGCACGUUAAGAUAUUAAAAAAGUAUUUGAGCCCAUUAAGUUUUAAUGGAUUGUCAUUAGGAUUCUGGAUACAUUACUGUACGAGUUAAUGCACAACACGCAAAAAAAAAUAAAAUGAAAAAGUUUUUUUUAGAAAUUUUUUUUUCCUUAAAAGUGCCCAUCUUGUGAUGUAUGGAGGAAAGUUAGGCAACUAUAUUGUCUUUCUUGGGAAAAAAAAUUCAAAACAUAAAAAAGUGGACUUUUUCUGUAAAAUGACUUUUAAUUUUGAAAAGAUAUUUUUUAGCGUGUAAAACAUUUUUUUAUAUUUUUUAAAUAUGUUUUCUUGAAAGCUUGGACAAUUCCCUAAAAGUCCCCCAUACAUCGCUUUUUUGUACAACUUAUCAUAUUCGAGUUAUAUUUUUUGUGAAAAAAACGGCUAAUGUGCAACACGCUAAAAAAACUAACAUGAAAAAGUUUUUGUUAGAAAAACUUUUUUUCCUUAAAAGUGCCCAUCUUGUGAUGUAUGGAGGAAAGUUAGGCAACAAUAUUGACUUUCUUGGAAAAAAAUUUCAAAACAUAAAAAAGUGGGCAUUUUCUGUAAAUUGACUUUUAGUUUUAAAAAUAUAUUUUUUAGCGUGUAAAAAUGUAUUUAGUAUUUUUAAAAUAUUUUUUCAUGAAAGCGUGGACAAUUCUCUAAAUGUCACCCAUACAUCACUUUUUUGUACAUCUUAUCAUAUUCGAGUUAUUUUUUGUGAAAAAAAACGGUUAAAGAACUUUGACUCCUUUUAAAUGUUAGUCUAGGUUAAUUUUGAAAAAACAAAAUACGCAAAGUUGCUUGAAAAGGUAAAGUCUUGAAACCUACAAAAUUUCAUAACAUUCUGAGGGGGUGCUGCCAACCCCGAAGACGCAACUCAAAUAAUUUCACAGCACAGAAAUGGAUAGCUGUAAAGAAUUUGUGUAGUAGCUAUAUAUCCCGCUUGAAGUUUGUUUUGACAAUAAUGUUUACAUUCGACAAGCCGUGUUGGUAAACUAACAGUUUCUUUAUUACAGCUUCUAGCUGCAAUGAAAUCGCAUAAUGGCCUUUAAAGCGCUGCUGGUUUGGGGAUUUGUCAGUAUAACGAAUUGUACUGUAUAGUAGCAGCUGUUUUGUUAGUGGGGACUCCUAUUCAAUUUGUUCAAGUUUUCACAUCUUCCGGGAAAUCUCCCAGAGUUGGAAUAGAGUGGAGUAAAGGCAGCCCCAGUAACAAGCAAUGGAUUUCUGAAAACCGAGUUUGGUAGCUGUAUGGUGCUUGUUUUACAGUCGUGUAUUAGCUUAUGAUUUAUAUUUGACUAGCUUCUCUUUUAUUCAGCGUUGACUGCUUUUAUUCUAUGGUU